AUGGGGAGGCGGUGUGGAGACAGAGCUUCCCUGGGAUUUGGCAGGGCCCCAAAGCCAGAUCCUUCCCUUGGAGUUGAACCUAGCUGCCCAGCCUUGAACUCCGCAUCUGAGCCCCCCUCCCCGGGACUGUGCAGAGGCUUAGCUGCACCUCCGUGCAGCCAGCAGCCGGCUGUCCAUCUGUUAACGCGCUGGCCAGAUCGAGGCCUGGUGGCACAGGAGUGACCCAGAAGUAGGUAUAAUCCUCUCUUCUAAAUGUGCUUAAUACCAUCGAUAAUCUUGUCACAUAAAUCUCCUGGUUAGCAGUGAGCUGCAGCUAUCACCGCGAGACUCCAAGAAUCUCUCAGUAACAGAUCCUACCUCCUGUCACCCAUCUCCUUUCUGAUACGGCUUCAGCUGCCAUGUUGCCGAGUGAGUGUUUGGGAGAAGCUCCCUGACCUUUGCGGGCUGUUUCCUGGAGUAGCCCUCCGGGCCCUGUGACCCUCCCUUUCCCCCGUCCUUUCCCUAUCUCUGCCGAGGACCUGCUCUGCUUCUCUGCACGCCUGAACCCCUCAGGUGGCCGUUUUGGGGUCUGGUACCCUGGUCCACAUCUGCUGCUUCAUUUCCAUGUUUUUUGAAGACUUUCUAGACCAAGAGCUGUUCCCUGCGACUUUCUCUGACCACUGUUGAUCCCAGAGGCCUCUGUGUUCCGAGUGUGUCCAAGGAGGGCUUCUCCAGCAGAGCCAGCCUGGGGUACGGUGUAGCCCCACACUGCAGGGACACUCAAGUUCCAGCCUUCCUCUGAAGAAAUUAAACUCAAGUCCUUCGAUCACUCCAGCACGUCAGUGACCAGAAUGCACGCAGGGCAGAGCCAGGACUUUCCACGUGCAAAUCUCCUGGCGCCACCUCUUCCCUGUGUUCUAAGCCCCCACCUAGGGGGCAAAUCAGGAAAAGAGGUGCCUUUCCCCAAGGGUGUGGUGCACAGUUAAUGAAUAAAUGCCUUGUGAGAGGCACUGACGCCUGCCCGCCUGCCCUGGGACAGCGCUGGCCUGCCACCAACAGCUGGGUAAACAAGCGGGCUGGAUCUAAUCCCGUGCCCAGCCUCCCGGGGGCAGGAGGAGAGCGUGGUGGGCCUGGGCGGCCGGCUGGAGCCUGUGGGAUUGGCUUCUGAAUAGGUCCCUAAGCCCUGGCUGGCAUUUGGGGACAGUCUCCUGGGGUGGUGCAGGUAUACAAGGCCUUCCGCCCGCAGGGAGCCCAUUGCGGUCACAGGACCAGGUCCUUCUGCCCACGAGGACCAGUCUGAGUCAGGGAGGUGAUGAGCCGGUGGGUCUGCCACAGUUUUCUCCUUUGUGUUCCAGUGAAACAGAGGGACAGAAAAGGCAGCAGAACGGAUUUUCUUUGACCACUAAGAAGAGGGAGUGGUCCGUGCUGAAACUUUCAUCUGGUAUUUUGAUUUCUAAAGCUCUUUGGGGUCCACCAAGGGCCUUCUACGAGGGGACUCAUCAGCAGCACUCGCUCCCUCUUUCCCCCUCUGGUGAAGCAGGGCCCGCUUAGGGGAAGCCUUGGUCUGACCUCUGCAUGGCUGGACGCAGCCCCCUUGCAUUCCUGGGCUGCUGCUUUAGCUGACAUUUCAGGGUUCUCCACCUGGCAGCCCACUUGUCCUAGGAAGCAGGUGGGCGUCAUCAGGAAGUUCGUGGACACUGUCCUGCACGGGACAGAUGCAUGACAACGUGUCACUUCCACACAGCAGAGGGGAUGGAGGCCAGCUUCCUGGGAUGAGCCCCCAGGGGCCUCUCGAGAGACACAGGCAGGGACGUUUUCACAAGGUGCCUUAGUGUCCUAGGGUUACUGGAACGAAUAGUCACACACUAGCUGGCUUAAAGGACAGAAGCUUGUUCUCUCGUAGUUUGGGGCCCAGAAGUCCAAAGCCCAAAGGCCCUGGGGGAGGAUCUUCUUUGGGACCUCUGGUGGCCCAGGGUACAGCCCUUGGCUUGUCACAGCACUGGUGCUGUCUCUGCCUCUGCCUCUGCCUCUGUCUUCACAUGGCCUCUCCUGUGGGUUCCUCUUUUCUCUUAUAAGGACUGUCUUUAGAUGUGGGUCCCACCCGAUUCGGGACAGUCUCAUCUUGAGAACCCUACCGUAACUGUGUCGGCCUACACCGUGUUUACAAACAGGGUUAUUUUUAGAGAUCCCAAGUGGACAUUCUUUGGGGAGGGGGGUACUAGUUAACCUACCAAAUGGAGACUGAUCCAGAAGCAAAGCCCUGGGAAGCCACAGGUUCCUCAGAAGUGGGCUCUACUAAAAUAGAGACCACAAUCCUCGCUGGAAGAAUGGAGGGAGUCUGAGAUCUCAGGAUGCUCCAGUCCUGGAACAGGAGGCCACGGGAGGCUGGGCUGCCUUGAGCUCCAGCGCGGGCACCGGAGGGCUGUGAGGAGAGCGGAACUCGAGUGGAGAAGUCCUGGAGAUGGAAGACUCUUCCCCUUGUGGCCAGGGAGCUGGAGACAAAAGCCAUAACCACAGGGACUGUUUCUUUCCUUUUCUUUCUGGUCCUCCAACUCAGGAUGCAAGGUAGCCAGAGGUGGGCAGGGCUGCUGGGACCCUGGCGAGCAAUGGUUCUGCUAUACUCACAGCCCAGCCCGGGCUGGAAUCCACUUGGGAUGACUGGGAUGCCCAAGAGAGCCAUUCCCGGGAGCUAAGCGGAUCCAAGCUCACCCUGUUCUCCCUGUGGACAGCGAUCAUGUGGACUGUACUUUGGGACAGCACUUGGGCAAAGCAGCAGGACAGCAGCUUCCAAACUGGAGCAGCCAGCCCGGUGUCAGAUCUUGGAGUAACACGAGUAUCCGUCAGACAGAGCCAGGCUCGGUGGUCUCUCAGCGGUCUGCACCCGUGCGGUGUCUGCAGCACCCUGUGAGAGUUUCCUGCUGAGAACUGCAGCUAGACUGCCUGGGGUGUGUUUGGGCCUGAUGGGGGCUUAGCUGGCCUCGUCUCUCAGGAAACAGAGCUGAUCUGUGACCCUUUGAGAACAAAGGAGGACAGGAGAAGUGGACAUGGGGACAGCAGACUUAACACGAGACACUGAGCCUCAGGGGCAGGUGAGCCUUUUCCUGGAAAAGAAAAGAAAAGCCCACAGGAGCACUUCCCUUCAGGCAGCCAGCAGUCUACAGAGAGGGAGGCGGGCGCCUUGUGCCCAGGUUGUGGGUACCAGCAGGCACCUUGCUUCCCGCCUGGCUCCGUGGUGCAGGAGGUUACACUGCAUUCACCCAGGAAGCAGAGGAGAGGAGGAUGGAAAGACAGACUCUAGCUCCUCUCAUUGGAGCGAUGUGCAGCCGCAGACUGAGCACAAACGCUGUCCUGUCCACACGCUCUCCUUAUUCCUCAGGGAUCUUUAGCUGCCGGAGAAAAAUGAGGUUUCUGGAUGAUGCGUUCCAGAGAAGUAAAUGUGCAAAAGCAAAUUAUCAUUAAAGUACUAGCCGGACUGCAGCCUCAGCGGCUCAUGGAUUUCUCCUCACGGUUUCAUUUUGGGCAGCGAAUGGCCUGUUGAAACUGACUGCUAACCUGCUAACUGAAACCAGCUCCUCUUUAGGUGUGUGCUUCACGAGGGAGGGCUCUGGCCAGUUUGGUCAUCCGUAUGAGGCCAGUGAGUGAGGCAGGGAAGGGCCAGUCUGGGAGGAGGACAUUUCCUUGCUGAAACUGAAUGAACUGUGUGAGCACACCAGGCGAGGUGCUCAAAACUUGUGUGUUUACUCACCCGGUUAUUUUUAGCAUUACAGAAGGCUCCCUUCUAAACAAAUGGGUUAGGUUCUAAAAAGUUCAUUUGUAAUCCGGCUGUUUAGAUUUUCGGAUGUUUAGAUUUUUGGAACAUAUUUUCCCUAUAGAAAACAAUGUUACAAAUGGUAAUGAGACUUCUAGGUUAGUUGUCCAAAGCCUAUUUAACCCAUAAUGUAGCUAAAAUACUGUCCUUUUGCAAUGGGGAAAAAAAAUU